rnacentral:lncRNA from 1 species
AUUUGAAACAUCUUUCUGAAAGGAUUGCAAAACCAGAGUAGCGUGAGAAAUCUGGACCAUGCUAUGAAAUUGGUCUAACUUAGAAGGGUAAAUCUCACAACAAAAUUUGACCAAAGCCCCUUUUCAACAGUUAAGUCUUCAAGGUUUUUAGUUUUAUUCUUUAUUGGUCAUGAUUUCACUUUGGUGAUUCUGGCACUGAAUAGAGGUCAUUGAGAGCUUUUAUCAAAUAUACAUAAUUCAUAUUGGCCCACUUAAGCCCCUCUGACCCCAAACCCUCGAAAUACUUUCAUUUUACUUAGCUUUCAUUUUCAUCCAGUCACAACUUUUCCAAGAAAUGUAGACACAGUCACACACAGAUGUUAAAAACCUUUUUAAAACAUCCAGUCACUAACAAAUCUGUACUUCCCAUUUCAUCUAGCCACGCCUUUUCAAAGAAAUAUAAGUGGCAAACAGAAACAGAAAAGUCAGAACAACUUUAGUGGAGCUACUUCCAUCAAGAUGGAGAAAAUAUACCAAAUCCUCGAGCAAAACCGACUGGAGAAGUACUACAAUGGCUUUUGCAAUGUUGGUGUCAAAGAUGAGAGAGAUUUCAUUGAUGGAAUAAAUGAUGAAACUCUAGUUAACAUGGGUUUUACUCAAGUAGAGAAGAAUCGAUUUAAAAAAAUGAAAGAAGCCAUCCAAAGAUUCAGAGCACCACAGCAAGAGGUGUACAAAACAUCAAGUAACAUGCAAAAAUCAUUGAAGACUUUCGUCUUGCGGUACACCUACCCUCACUGUGCUGAGCCCAAAGAAAUCAGAGACAUGGAUCCUGCCCAUAACACAGUGGAAGAUCUGAUGCUAAGGAUUUGUUACCAAGAGGGCAUUGGGAACUCUAAAGCUGUGUGCCUCUACACAGUAGAAGGGAUGCCUUUAACCGAUGAUCCUUUCUUCAACACAUGGUCAUUGACAGACAGGCAUAUUGAAAAUGGAAAUGAGCUUUAUGCAAUUUUUACACCCAAGGAGAACUUAGUAGUCAACUUACAAGUCCCUAAAAGGCCACAGCAAGAGGUGCUAGACAUUUCAGGAGAGGAUAUUGUUCAAUGUCACAUCAUGCUCAAAGGGGACUAUGAAGUCAAAAUGAACUUGGAAAGUGACACAAUUACAGAAUUGAGACGGAAGCUGUCUAAUGAAAGUGGAAUCCCAGAACAUGUUCUCCAUUACAAAAGUAACCCUGUUGGUGGCACCUUGAAAGCAGCUGGAAUCAGUGCAGAAUCACCUGUGCACUUUUAUUUAACCUCUUUCCCUGCAGACAAUCAAGAUUACCAUGAAUCUGUAAAUUUCUUCUAUAAUGACAUCACUCCUUCAGUGCAACAAACUCAGAAGGGACUCAGUACUUUCUAUUCUACACUUUAUACCAUUAAAUACAAGAAUUCUGGAGAUGGUUUCAAGAAAGUGAUUGGAUACAUUCGGAAACUCAGUGGAUGCAAUCCUCUGGCCCAAAGUCUGUAUCAGCAGAUGUGCAAAAAUAUCAUUGGAACUAGGACCCAGAAGAUUGCCAUUGUUGAAGGACUGUACACCCUAUUCAGAGAGCUGUUGCCAAGCCUCACAAAACCAAGAGCUUGCCUCAAGUGGAGGAGUUUAAGUAUCUAGGGGUCUUGUUCACGAGUGAGGGAAGGAUGGAACGGGAGAUUGACAGACGGAACGGUGCAGCUUCUGCAGUAAUGCGGUCGAUGUAUCGGUCUGUCGUGGUGAAGAAAGAGCUGAACCGUAAGGCGAAGCUCUCGAUUUACCGGUCAAUCUACGUUCCUACUCUCACCUAUGGUCAUGAGCUUUGGGUCAUGACCGAAAGGACAAGAUCCCGGAUACAGGCGGCCGAAAUGAGCUUUCUCCGCAGGGUGGCUGGGCGAUCCCUUAGAGAUAGGGUGAGAAGCUCGGUCACCCGGGAGGAGCUCAGAGUAGAGCCGCUGCUCCUCCACAUCGAGAGGGGUCAGCUAAGGUGGCUUGGGCAUCUGUUUCGGAUGCCUCCGGAACGCCUUCCUGGGAAGGUGUUCCGGUCCCGUCCCACCGGGAGGAGACCCCGUGGAAGACCUAGGACAAGCUGGAGGGACUAUGUCUCCCGGCUGGCCUGGGAACGCCUCGGUGUCCCCCCGGAAGAGCUGGAGGAAGUGUCUGGGGAGAGGGAAGUCUGGGCAUCUCUGCUUAGACUGCUGCCCCCGCGACCCGGCCCCGGAUGAAGCGGAAGAAGAUGACAAUUAGACAUUUUAGGGUGCGGCAUAUAACCAAUACAUGUGUACCAUGGCAAAGUGCCACAAACCUCUGUGAUAUCAUGCUAUUAUAAACGAUCAGAUAGAACAGUUUGAAAUAAAACUGUGUCUGUUUCCAAGAUGUUUUAGAGAACAACAAAAAAUUGGCCAAAAAAGACUCUUAGUUAUUGUUUGAUUCAUUAUCAAAGGAGCUGUCUGAAACUAAGUUGGAAUUUUCCACUGGACUGCUUCACAAUUCGGCUGCAUGCUUUCAGUAUUUUCAAAUUAUACAUGAGUUUCCAAAGAACUUUGAAACAAAAUAAUUUUCAUGCAAUUGUAGCUCUUUCAGUGGUUUCUUGAGAUGAAAAUUGUGAAAACCUUUUAGACGAUCAGUGUGAAACCCAUUCUGUAGGGGCCAUAUUAAAACAUUUAAAAACAUUUGCAGGCCAUCUUGUUAAUAACAACAACAAAAAAUACAUUCAUUCUGCCACCUAAACUGGACCUUGAUUUAUAAAAUAUGAAUGUGUAUGGUGGUACAUCAAACACAAAACAAUUAAAACCACAGAAAAAUCAUAAAUAACACAUCAAAUACAUUUUCAAACCAAUUUUUAAGGGUUCCCCUCAUUGAACCUACCUAUUUGCUAUUGACACCUUUUUUUGCAACCACCUGCACAGGAUAACAAACUGAAGCAAAAUGGAAAACUAAAUCCUAAAAAAAGAAAGAAUCAUCCAGCUGGAGUGGUGCUCUUCUUUUAUCUAGGAACAUUGACAGGAGUCUCACUCCUAUAGCCUUAACAUGAGAUAGGGUGCAGGUCAGGCUGCAGGCUGUUAGCCAGCCUGCUAGCAUAGUGGAGUCUGUCGAUAGCAUAGCCAGAGUAGUUAGUGCAGCUUUACCUAUUGCACCUGUGACUCGUUCCAGGCUGAGAAAAGUUAAACAAGGUAGUGCUAACAAAAACAACCUUAUUAAGAUAAAGCCUUCCUCCGCCUCGGUCACAAAUAAAAAUGACUAUCACCUCGCAUCUCAAAAUGGGACUACUAAAUGUUAGAUCCCUUGCUCCAAAGGCAGUUGCCGUAAAUGAAUUAAUAUCUGACCAUAAACUAGAUGUUAUUGGUUUAUGUGAAACGUGGCUAAAGCCUAAUGAAUUCACUGCCUUAAAUGAGGCCUCUCCUCCUGGUUAUAUAGUGAUCAUAUCCCUCCUGCAUCCCGAAAAGGAGGGGGUGUCGCUAAUAUUUAUGACAGUAAAUAUAAAUUUACUCUCAAACAUAUCACUGAGUUUCAUUCUUUUGAAGUUUUACGAAUGAAAGUUAACCAGGCCGAUAAAUCGUUUUACAUAGCUAUACCCCCCGGGCCAUACAUAAUGUUCCUCAUGAGUUUCCAGAAUUCUUAUAACCUUGUAGUCAUGGCAGAGUAUUCUAAUUUUUGGCGAUUUUUGUAUUCAUAUGGAAAAGUCCAAUGAUCCUCAAUGGGUUUUAUCCAACAUGUCUCAGGUCCAACACACUGCCACAAUCACACCUUAGAUUUAGUCCUGUCACGAGAAAUAGAUAUUGUAGAUCUAAUAAUUUCCCCCAAAAUCCUGGAUUAUCGGAUCACUGUCUUAUUACAUUUACCGUUAAAACAAGAAAUCCACUUGCUCCGCAAACAAUGAGUUUCAAAAGCCGUACUAUAAAUUCUCGGAAUACAAAUAAAUUCCGUGAUAUUCUUACAAAUUCGCUCAUUAACGACAGAGUAAAUAAAUCUGUAAACGAUCAAAUCGAGGAUCUAAUCUCAACACUGCGAAAUACAUUAGACACAGUUGCACCACUAAAAACAAAAGAAAUACGCAACAAGAAACUUGCUCCCUGGUACACAGACAAUGCUAGAGCACUUAAGCAAGCCUCCAGAAAAUUGGAGCGAAAGUGGCGCUCCACCAAGUUGGAAGUAUUUAGACUAGUCUGGGUAGUAGGGGUGGAGCCGAACCCGAAUACGGUAUUCGGAAAGGCACAAAUAACGUGGUUUUUACAAAUACUUAUUUCAAACAAAUUCUUAAAAAAAUAUUUGUAUUCGGGAACAAGAAAACCGUUAUAUCAAAAAGCUGCGUUUUCUCAUGAGACCGCAGUACAUGCCCGGAUGAGUGAGUGAGUGACGUUCAGUCGGGGGAGGGGAAAAGAAUAAAAGCGGUAACUGACACUGGCUGCUCCACACAUCUCCAUUCUCCACACAGUAACAGAGAGCACUCGGCUGAGCGAAAAAACUUAACGGAGUCACAAUUUUGUUUAAUAGAUUUUUGUACCUUAACUGGGUACCAAAGGC